CCUACCGGAGACGGAAGGGGCGCUUUUAUUAGAUCAAAACCAAUCGGUGGCGGUUCGCCGUCACCGUACUCCUUGGUGACUCUGAAUAACUUGUUGCUGAUCGCACGGUCUCGAACCGGCGACGCAUCUUUCAAAUGUCUGCCUUAUCAACUGUCGAUGGUAGGUUCUGCGCCUACCAUGGUUGUAACGGGUAACGGGGAAUCAGGGUUCGAUUCCGGAGAGGGAGCCUGAGAAACGGCUACCACAUCCAAGGAAGGCAGCAGGCGCGCAAAUUACCCACUCCCGGCACGGGGAGGUAGUGACGAAAAAUAACGAUACGGGACUCAUCCGAGGCCCCGUAAUCGGAAUGAGUACACUCUAAACCCUUUAACGAGGAUCAAUUGGAGGGCCAGUCUGGUGCCAGCAGCCGCGGUAAUUCCAGCUCCAAUAGCGUAU
rnacentral:rRNA from 1 species